AAGGGCGUAGCGCACGGGGGAGCGCACCGGUCUGGUGUGACCGGAGGAGCUGGCUUGACACCAGCCGCCCUGACCA
rnacentral:tRNA from 1 species